rnacentral:rRNA from 1 species
CCUACGGGAGGCAGCAGUAGGGAAUUUUCGUCAAUGGGCGCAACCCUGAUGCAGCGACGCCGCGUGGGUGAAGAAGCGCCUCGGCGCGUAAAGCCCUGUCAGCAGGGAAGAAAAUGACGGUACCUGAAGAAGAAGCCCCGGCUAACUACGUGCCAGCAGCCGCGGUAAUACGUAGGGGGCAAGCGUUAUCCGGAUUUAAUAGGUGUAAAGGGGGCGCAGACGGCGAUGCAAGCCAGGAGUGAAAGCCCGGGGCCCAACCCCGGGACUGCUCUUGGAACUGCGUGGCUGGAGUGCAGGAGGGGCAG